UUGGCUCAAGGCCGUGGCUGGGUCCGUGGUUCCUGACAAGAGGCCCGGUGGUCCGCCAGGUGCAGCGUACUGCUGUCGGUGAAGCCGGGCCCCGGCUGCCCUGGCCCGAGGGUGACCUGCCGGGACUCGGGGAGACGCGGCGGGGAAGACCAAGGGUCCGGGAGAGCGGCCGGACCGUAAAGGUCACUUCUGGAUGUGGUACUGCAUUUAUAGAACGCUUUCUGCUCCCUGUUGAUCCUGUGACCUCCGGUGCAUUCAAUAACUAUUAAAUUAGAAAAAUAUUUCCCACUUCUGAAAUCCAAACCAUCACACAAACAGAACUAGAGUUUGCAUGCGGAAUGAAUAUUUUAUUACUAGAUUAUAAAAAUAAAAUACAAAAUAAUUUUAAAACAGAACUUAAAACACUGUACAAAGCUUUAAUAUGAUACAAAUGGGAAAAUUAAAUAAAUAAUUACACUUUUAUGUACAGAUGGCCUAUACAAAAGCACUCAUGUUUCUGCCAAUACUCUAUGUCCUUGGUUGCCUGAGCAAAAAUGCAUCAAGAGGGCUGAUUGGAGGGGAAAGGGAUACAAUACAAUACCUUUGGAGGUAUUUCAAAGAGCAGUUUCUCAUCACUGACUUCAUGAAGAGAAGAAAGGGAGAAAACUAUGGAACUGUUAAAUUACUCUAACUUGUCUUGCUCGAUGAGUGAAUUCUUCUGGUUUGCAGUUCCAUCUGAUUUAAAAGAUGCCAAUAGUUAGAAACUUUCAAGAUUUACAUUUAAUUCAAAAUUAGAUGCUUCUCAACUCUUUUUUCCUAAAAGCUGUAAACUUGUAAGUAAAUGACCCAGUGACAUCAGCAGUUGGUUAUUUUAGGAAAGGAGUCAGGAGGGGAACCAGGAACUGUGCAUGAGAAAUGAGGAAGCGCAAGCCUGGGUCAUCUGUUCUUUUCUUUACUCAGUUCACAAGUUCACACAAUCCAAGUUAAGAGCCCCAGUGGUACAUGUUAUAUUUCCUUUAGCUUCCUCUAUUUGUAUUUCUGAAUUAGUGAACUGAUUUAUCUAACCGGUGAAUAGUUUAAAAA